rnacentral:tRNA from 1 species
GCGGUGGUGGUAUAGUGGUUAGCAUAGUUGCCUUCCAAGCAAUUGACCCGAGUUUAAUUCUCGGCUAUCGCA